UACGGAGGAUGCAAGCGUUAUCCGGAAUUAUUGGGCGUAAAGCGUCCGCAGGUGGCAAUGUAAGUCUGCUGUUAAAGAGUCUAGCUCAACUAGAUAAAAGCAGUGGAAACUACAUAGCUAGAGUACGUUCGGGGCAGAGGGAAUUCCUGGUGUAGCGGUGAAAUGCGUAGAGAUCAGGAAGAACACCAGUGGCGAAGGCGCUCUGCUAGGCCGUAACUGACACUGAGGGACGAAAGCUAGGGGAGCGAAUGGG
rnacentral:rRNA from 1 species